ensembl:lincRNA
GCUGGGAUUAUAGGCAUGAGCCACUGCGCCCAGCCGGUUAUGCCAGUUUAAAGUCCUUAUUCUGUGUGAAGCUUUGUGUUACUUUUGUGUUUCAGUACGUUCCCCUACCUAAUCCUUAUAAAACUCUGUCUAGGUUAUGCAAUUUGUGGGGCCCAGUGAAAAAAGAAAAUGUUGGGCCCCUUGUUCAAAUUAUUAAGAAUUUCAAGAUGGCAACAGAAGAGCAUUGAACCAAACACACGGCACUUUGCAGCUUUGCAGUGUGAGCCCUGCAAGAUGGCACGAGUCAGAUGCCGUGAAGCUGGGUGUUAUGUCCUCAUUUAUCACAGGAGGAGACUGAGACACAGAGGAGCUAUGUCUUACUCAAGGCCAGACAGCUUGGAUGCUGAAGCAGAAUGCUGUCAGCAAGUAGUCAUUGUCUAAAGGCUUUAAGAUAAAAACUGAAUCUCUCUGAAGAAGCAGCAAUAUUGCCUGUGGGCUGCAGCUUCAGCUCCUGCACAAGUUUCCAGCCUGCUCUACAGAUUUCCAACUUGCCAACCCACACAAUUGUGUAAGCCAAUUCCUUGAAAUAGAUCUCCUCACAUAUAAAAUAUAUACAGUUUGCAUAUAUGGGUGUGUGUGUGUGUGUGUGUGUGUAUGUGUGUGUGUGUGUGUGCAUGCCCACAUACAUGUAUGCAUACAUAUACAUCUUACUGAAUCUGUUUCUCUGGCCAAACCCUAAAUAAUAAU